UUUUAAAGUCUAUUUUGUCUGAUAUGAAUAUUGCUACUCCAACUUUUUUUUGAUUUCUGUUUGUAUGGAAUACCAUUUUCCUUCCUCUCACUUUCAGACUGUAUGUGUCUCUUGAUUGGAAAUGGGUCUCUUGUAGAUAACACAUAUAUGGUUCUUGUUUUUAGAUCCAUCCAUCCCAUCUUUG